UCUACGUUUCGUUAAAAAAAUACGUUUUAUCCAAACGCUCAGCGGACAAGUGAAGGGCGGAGCUGGGCGGAGCUGUGGCAGAAGAGGCGGCACGACGGAGCAGAAGGGGAGCCGCAACGGAGCAGGAGAAGAUGGCCGAGAAGAUGUUCAGGCGCGGCACGGUGGGCAAAGAAUAGUUUUGGUGAUGAGCUUGUGGCUACGCUGGACCAGCUGUUGCAGCCCCCCUGCGUCGUCACAGUGGGUCGCUUGCGUUCUGCUGCUCCGGUGCCGGCACCUGUCCCUAUGCCGCUAUGCGGUGCCGUGCUCAGGAAUUUGGCGAAGAAGGCGGCUGCCGUGCUUGCGCGCGAGAAGGGCGCUAGACCUUGUUGGCGCUGCGAAGGGGGCACAGCUCAGGUUGGGUACGCCGUCGGCCAGCGCCGGCGGCGAGCACGCUCCGCUAUGACCUGUCCGCCAUAGCCAGUCCUCUCCCGCCUCCCCCGACUCCGUGUCCUUGUCCAACGCAAAUCAUUGGAGCUGUCAGCCCGGAUUGUUGUUGGCUUCUAUAAGAAGGGAGGGUCCUCGGCUCGAAUCUCCAUCAGGUCAAUUUUGGACGAAGCAUCCAAUGUCGACACCGAGUUCGCCACAGGAAGAAGCGCCGAGUUCGCUGGACGUAGAAGAAGCGCCGAGUUCGCCGAAGGUAGAAGAACAGCCGUCGAGCUGUCCAAUGUCGCCUGCUUCGGCUACAGUAGAGAUGUGUAUCCCCUUGACCCCUGUUUUGAGUUAUUUUUCUGUCCCCUGUUUCUCUAUGUACCUUCUAAUUGUUGCGAAGUACGUCAGUUUAGAUAUUGUUGCCUUCUUGUGAUUGUAGACACCCAUGUUGUGUGGUUGGUCUGUUGAACGAAGCGCUGGAACUGUCAGCAAUUCCUUCAGAUAGUGUUGUUCUCUGAACAGAGAAAACAAAAUUGGAACAGCUGCUGCGGUGCUUCUCAUCUGGCCUUAGUUCCAGGUGCCUUGCAUGAUGGUUGGUCUACAUUGAUGGAGAUGACUAUUUGAUCAGGGUGUUGUGCUGAGGAAACCAACAAGACAUGGAAAACGCUUAUAAUCACCUGACAGAUUACAGCUCCUGCGUCCGCCACUUUCCUUGCACUCAUGGGAUGGGGUUGCAUUUUAGUUUUGAUCAUAUAUGAACUUACAAGUUACAACCGUUAAGGUUGAACAACAUCGGUUCUUUUUUGAUGGAUUGAACAACAUCAAUAGGAAGUUUCUUGCUCAGUUUCUUUUGUUUGGGAUGAUACAGAUGAGAUAGCCCAUCAGUUGCUCACAGAAGGAAACAACCACAAUGAGAAUCCUCUUAUAUCCAGGCAAGUACUAUUCCUACUUGACUGACGAACAUCAUAUCUGUAGUAUAUCUCUUUGCGCACUGUUGGUUAUGUCGUAUUACUUCUGUGUUUUUUACAUAUUUUACCGAUGGAUGUUUGUGUUAGGAACUGAGAUUCGCUAGCUUUCAUAUUUUGCUUUAGUUUUUUCAUACUGAAAGUGCAUGCCCAAUUUUAGUAAAGACUGGAUUUGGUAUUUCCUCCUUCCGUCUACAAAAAUGAUGCUCUGUUUCCCGUGCAAUCAAAUUAUCUCAUGGGUGACUGAUAUUGAUUUUCUAACACAACAUUUUCUUGACGACACAACUUUAGUUAGUAGGUUUUGGAAAGGUCACGAAGUAUCAGUUAUCUACCAUUUAAACCUCCGACUGUAUGAAUCUCUACAUAGCCUCCGUGUUCUCCAUCGUCGAGCAGACGUCUCCAUAUGGUAUGCGUUAAUGACUGGUGUGGCAAUGACGCCGG